AGAGAGAGAAAGACUUGCUAGACUGGAGCCAAGUGAGAAAAGCAGAGGCAGAGGACGGCAUGGGGGGAGCAGCCGGGAGACACAUGUGGAAAGAGGUGCAUACUGCACUGUAGUUGCUGGGAAGGGAUAUUAAGCAGAGGGGUGAUCUGUCUCAGACAAGUGAUGGUAUAAAAUCAUUUCUGGAGUAAGCAGUUUCUCCAGUUGAUAAUUGUUACUAAGGAAGAAAAAAGAGAUGGAGAGGCCAUGUACUUGCUCAAGAAUUUAACAAAGUAACAUAGUGGUAUUCCACAAGUUUGAACCGAAGACACCCUGAAUGGUGCCUGCACAGAAUUCUCUAUGAAAAAUAAGGAAGAUGGCCUGCUACCUGUUGCCUGUUUAAAUAUGUUUUCGAUAGACAACAAGGCACCAAGAACCCUGGGUAAAUAAUAGAUGUUAAAAAUAGCUACUACCUAACAAUGUUACUAGAAUAAUUAGAGUGUAGAAAACUCUCUCAUAUGAGAAGCCAACUAAA